rnacentral:rRNA from 1 species
AUACGUAGGGAGCAAGCGUUGUCCGGAUUUACUGGGUGUAAAGGGCGCGCAGGCGGGUUGGUAAGUCAGAGGUGAAAUCCUACAGCUUAACUGUAGAACUGCCUUUGAUACUACUAAUCUUGAGUAUGGAAGAGAGAGACGGAAUUCCAGGUGUAGUGGUGAAAUGCGUAGAUAUCCGGAGGAACACCAGUGGCGAAGGCGGCUUCCUGGACCAACCCUGACACUGAGGCGCGAAAGCGUGGGGAGCAAACAGGAUUAGAAACCCCAGUAGUCC